rnacentral:rRNA from 1 species
ACGGGAGGCAGCAGUGGGGGAUAUUGCACAAUGGGCGAAAGCCCGAUGCAGCGACGCCGCGUGAGGGAAGACGGUUUUCGGAUUGUAAACCUCUGUCUUCGGGGACGAAAAUGACGGUACCCGAGGAGGAAGCCACGGCUAACUACGUGCCAGCAGCCGCGGUAAUACGUAGGUGGCAAGCGUUGUCCGGAAUUACUGGGUGUAAAGGGAGAGUAGGCGGGAUUGCAAGUCCGUUGUUAAAUCUAUCGGCUCAACCGAUAGCUGCGGCGGAAACUGUAGUUCUUGAGUGAAGUAGAGGCAGGCGGAAUUCCUAGUGUAGCGGUGAAAUGCGUAGAUAUUAGGAGGAACACCAGUGGCGAAGGCGGCCUGCUGGGCUUUAACUGACGCUGAGGCUCGAAAGUGUGGGGAGCAAACAGGAUUAGAUACCCUGGUA